GUCUGGUCUUGAAACCGAAUCUGUUGCGAGCAUUGUUGCUAGGUGAACCGCAGCUUCUGCUACUAGCACAAAGCCUUGCUUGAACAGAGUCCUUGUAUCUGCUACAAUUUGUCUACUUCUCUUCCCAAGCUUAAGCCGUGUUCUGAGAAGAUGAAAGCUACAAAAGCUUGGGAGUAGAUAAUUCAUUCGCUUAUCUGAUCCCGGGAGUUUUUCGUAACGUAGUUUUGUUCUUCUAGCCUAGCAAAAGAGAUCCUGAAUCUGAGU